UACGAAGGUCCCGAGCGUUAUCCGGAUUUAUUGGGUUUAAAGGGUGCGUAGGCGGGUUAUUAAGUCAGUGGUGAAAGCCUUCAGCUUAACUGAAGAAUUGCCAUUGAUACUGAUGAUCUUGAGUAUGAUUGAGGUGGGCGGAAUGUGUCAUGUAGCGGUGAAAUGCUUAGAUAUGACACAGAACACCGAUUGCGAAGGCAGCUCACUGAGUCAUAACUGACGCUGAUGCACGAAAGCGUGGGGAGCAAACAGG
rnacentral:rRNA from 1 species